UACGUAGGGGGCAAGCGUUGUCCGGAUUUAUUGGGCGUAAAGAGCGUGUAGGCGGCUUUACAGGUCCGUUGUGAAAACUCGAGGCUCAACCUCGAGACGCCGGUGGAAACCGUAAGGCUAGAGUCCGGAAGAGGAGAGUGGAAUUCCUGGUGUAGCGGUGAAAUGCGCAGAUAUCAGGAGGAACACCCGUGGCGAAAGCGGCUCUCUGGGACGGUACUGACGCUGAGACGCGAAAGCGUGGGAGCAACA
rnacentral:rRNA from 1 species